GAUGAACGCUGGCGGCGUGCCUAAUACAUGCAAGUCGAGCGAACAGACGAGGAGCUUGCUCCUCUGACGUUAGCGGCGGACGGGUGAGUAACACGUGGAUAACCCACCUAUAAGACUGGGAUAACUUCGGGAAACCGGAGCUAAUACCGGAUAAUAUAUUGAACCGCAUGGUUCAAAAGUGAAAGACGGUUUUGCUGUCACUUAUAGAUGGAUCCGCGCCGCAUUAGCUAGUUGGUAAGGUAACGGCUUACCAAGGGAACGAUGCGUAGCCGACCUGAGAGGGUGAUCGGCCACACUGGAACUGAGACACGGUCCAGACUCCUACGGGAGGCAGCAGUAGGGAAUCUUCCGCCAUGGGCGAAAGCCUGACGGAGCAACGCCGCGUGAGUGAUGAAGGUCUUCGGAUCGUAAAACUCUGUUAUUAGGGAAGAACAAAUGUGUAAGUAACUAUGCACGUCUUGACGGUACCUAAUCAGAAAGCCACGGCUAACUACGUG
rnacentral:rRNA from 1 species